rnacentral:lncRNA from 1 species
UUGGGAGUUAUGUGUUCAAAGUAUCAUCGGGGGAUGGUAUUUUUGCAUGUAAUCUACGGUUUGUAUUCCACGGGAGUGAGCAUAGACUUAAUUCGCAAUUGUCAUAGGAAGAACUAGCCCUGGAAUGAUUAAUCGAAUUGAAUUUAUCUUAUUUUCUGAAUUUUUUGAAAUCGAACCUCUAUGAUAUCUUUAUCUCCAUAUUUUCUCUUAUUUGCUAGCUUGUGUGAUUUUUUUUUCUUUUUUAUUUCAAUCGUGAAAGCCAACUCCAAUUUUUCUAUUAAUCCAGAUAGAGGAAUUUAGUUUAUAGUAGUACUCGCUAGGUGUCAAUCUUU